rnacentral:rRNA from 1 species
UACGUAGGGUGCGAGCGUUGUCCGGAAUUAUUGGGCGUAAAGAGCUCGUAGGCGGUGUGUCACGUCGGCCGUGAAAACCUGCAGCUUAACUGUGGGCGUGCGGUCGAUACGGGCAUCACUGGAGUUCGGCAGGGGAGACUGGAAUUCCUGGUGUAGCGGUGAAAUGCGUAGAUAUCUGGAGGAACACCGGUGGCGAAGGCGGCAUCCUGGACCGGCAUUGACGCUGAGGAGCGAAAGCCAGGGGAGCAAACGGG